CCUACCGAGCCUAGUUAUAGCUGGUUGCUUAAGAAAUGAAUGUUAGUUCAGCCUUAUGUAAUUCUAUAACCAAAACUUAUUAACAAAAAGAACAAAAGCAAUACAUAAGAGUUAGUCAAAGGGGGUACAGCCCCUUUGAAACAGAACACAACCUUAUUCAGGAGGACAAGGAUCAUACCAUAAAAGGACAAAAUUACCUCAGUGGGCCCAAAAGCAGCCACCUGUAAAGAAAGCGUUAAAGCUCCGGUAAAUACAGACCAAUAAUAAAGACAAUACACUCCCCACCCCCUAAAAAUAUUAAGCUAUCCUAUGCACACAUAGGAGAAACAAUGCUAAAAUCAGUAAUAAGAGGGCCCAAGCCCUCUCCUAGCACAUGUGUAAGUCAGAACGGACCGACCACUGACAAUCAACGGACCCAAACAGAGAGAAAAAGAACAAACUACAAAAAACAAGAAAAAUCUAUUUAAUACCACAAACCGUUAACCCAACACAGGAGUGCCUAAAGGAAAGACUAAAAGGAGAAGAAGGAACUCGGCAAACACAAACCCCGCCUGUUUACCAAAAACAUCGCCUCUUGCUAACAAAGGAAGUACUAGAGGUCCCGCCUGCCCUGUGACCACAAAGUUUAACGGCCGCGGUAUCCUGACCGUGCGAAGGUAGCGUAAUCAUUUGUCUUUUAAAUAGAGACCUGUAUGAAUGGCAUAACGAGGGUUUAACUGUCUCCUUCCCCUAGUCAAUGAAAUUGAUCUGCCCGUGCAGAAGCGGACAUAAAUACAUAAGACGAGAAGACCCUAUGGAGCUUUAGACAAAAGAUCAAACAUGUAAAGAAACCAAGUUAACCAAAAGGAACACAAAGGCCACGAAACCCGACGUAAACUGAUCCAAAUGUCUUCGGUUGGGGCGACCAUGGGGGAGAAAAAAGCCCCCACGAGGAACAGGGACUAAUCCCUAAGCCAAGAGAGACAUCUCUAAGCAACAGAAAAUCUGACCAAAAGUGACCCAGAAUACUAAUUCUGAUCAACGAACCAAGUUACCCUAGGGAUAACAGCGCAAUCCUUUCCC
rnacentral:rRNA from 1 species